rnacentral:piRNA from 1 species
UCUGCUGAGCUGCAGAGCAUUAAGUGUGAC